CCCAUAAUAUAUUUGAUGGCAUCAUUGAAUAUUGAAAACUCCGGUGGAUAGAGAUGGGCACGCGCAAGAUUAGAUAGUUGGUAGGGUAACGGCCUACCAAGUCAAUGAUCUUUAGGGGGCCUGAGAGGGUGAUCCCCCACACUGGUACUGAGACACGGACCAGACUCCUACGGGAGGCAGCAGUGAGGAAUAUUGGACAAUGGGUGCAAGCCUGAUCCAGCCAUCCCGCGUGAAGGACUAAGGCCCUAUGGGUUGUAAACUUCUUUUAUACUGGGAUAAACCUACUUACGUGUAAGUAGCUGAAGGUACAGUAUGAAUAAGCACCGGCUAACUCCGUGCCAGCAGCCGCGGUAAUACGGAGGGUGCAAGCGUUAUCCGGAUUUAUUGGGUUUAAAGGGUCCGUAGGCGGAUUCGUAAGUCAGUGGUGAAAUCUCAUAGCUUAACUAUGAAACUGCCAUUGAUACUGCGAGUCUUGAGUGAGAUUGAGGUAGCUGGAAUAAGUAGUGUAGCGGUGAAAUGCAUAGAUAUUACUUAGAACACCAAUUGCGAAGGCAGGUUACCAAGUCUUAACUGACGCUGAGGGACGAAAGCGUGGGGAGCAAAC
rnacentral:rRNA from 1 species